CAGUAGCCACGGUAAUACGAAGGGUGCAAGCGUUACUCGGAAUUACUGGGCGUAAAGCGUGCGUAGGUGGUGGUUUAAGUCCGUUGUGAAAGCCCUGGGCUCAACCUGGGAAUUGCAGUGGAUACUGGAUCACUAGAGUGUGGUAGAGGAUAGUGGAAUUUCCGGCGUAGCAGUGAAAUGCGUAGAGAUCGGAAGGAACAUCUGUGGCGAAGGCGACUAUCUGGGCCAACACUGACACUGAGGCACGAAAACGUGGGGAGCAAACAGGAUUAGAUACCCGGGUAGUCCCUGUCUCUUAUAC
rnacentral:rRNA from 1 species